rnacentral:rRNA from 1 species
GAUGAACGCUGGCGGCGUGCCUAAUACAUGCCAGUCGAGCGAACGGACGAGAAGCUUGCUUCUCUGAUGUUAGCGGCGGACGGGUGAGUAACACGUGGAUAACCUACCUAUAAGACUGGGAUAACUUCGGGAAACCGGAGCUAAUACCGGAUGAUAUUUUGAACCGCAUGGUUCAAAAGUGAAAGACGGUCUUGCUGUCACUUAUAGAUGGAUCCGCGCUGCAUUAGCUAGUUGGUAAGGUAACGGCUUACCAAGGCAACGAUGCAUAGCCGACCUGAGAGUGUGAUCGGCCACACUGGAACUGAGACACGGUCCAGACUCCUACGGGAGGCAGCAGUAGGGAAUCUUCCGCAAUGGGCGAAAGCCUGACGGAGCAACGCCGCGUGAGUGAUGAAGGUCUUCGGAUCGUAAAACUCUGUUAUUAGGGAAGAACAUAUGUGUAAGUAACUGUGCACAUCUUGACGGUACCUAAUCAGAAAGCCACGGCUAACUACGUG